rnacentral:rRNA from 1 species
AACGAACGCUGGCGGCAUGCCUAACGCAUGCAAGUCGAACGAGAACUCCGGGUCUAGUGGCGCCCGGGAGCGUAACGCGUGGGAACCUGCCCUUAGGUUCGGAAUAACUCCCCGCAAGGGGUGCUAAUACCGGAUACUGUCUUCCGACCAAAGAUUUAUCGCCUUAGGAUGGGCCGGCGUUAGUUUAGAUAGUUGGUAGGGUACAAGCCUACCAAGGCGACGCGCCAUACCUGGUCGGAGAGGAUGCACUGCCACGACGGGAAUGAGACACGGCCCAGACUCCUACGGGAGGCUGCAGUGGGGAAUAUUGGACAAUGGGCGAAAGCCUGAUCCAGCCAUUCCGCUUGUGUGAUGAAGGCCGUAGGGUUGUAAUGCUCGUUUACCCGGGAAUAUAAUGACAGUACCGGGAGAAUAAGCGCCGGCUAACUCCGUG